UACGCUGGCGGCACGCCUAACACAUGCAAGUCGAACGCAGUAGCAAUACUGAGUGGCAAACGGGUGAGUAUAAUGUGGGAAUCUGCCUUUUGGUUUGGAAUAACACGGGGAAACUUGUGCUAAUACCGAAUAAGCCCUUACGGGGAAAGUUUUAAUGCCGAAAGAUGAGCCCGCACUUGAUUAGCUAGUUGGUAAGGUAAAAGCUUACCAAGGCAACGAUCAAUAGCUGUUCUUAGAGGAAGACCAGCCACAUUGGGACUGAGACACGGCCCAGACUCCUACGGGAGGCAGCAGUGGGGAAUCUUGCACAAUGGGGGAAACCCUGAUGCAGCGAUGCCGCGUGAGUGAAGAAGGCCUUUGGGUUGUAAAACUCUUUCGUCGGGGAAGAAAAUGACUGUACCCGAAUAAGAAGGUCCGGCUAACU
rnacentral:rRNA from 1 species